UACAGAGGUCUCAAGCGUUGUUCGGAUUCAUUGGGCGUAAAGGGUGCGUAGGUGGCAUGGUAAGUCGGAUGUGAAAUCCCGGGGCUCAACCCCGGAACUGCAUUCGAUACUGCUGCGCUAGAGUACUGGAGAGGAGAUUGGAAUUUACGGUGUAGCAGUGAAAUGCGUAGAUAUCGUAAGGAAGACCAGUGGCGAAGGCGGAGUCUCUGGACAGUUACUGGACACUGAGGCAGCGAAGGCC
rnacentral:rRNA from 1 species